AUAUUUUACUAUUGUAUAUGGCAUAUUUUAGAAAAAAAAAUAGGUUGGUAUAUAUAUUUUAUUAUUGUUAAGUUUUGUUUAAGAAAAUUUUAUAUUAUGUUUGAUCUCUCAAAGAUAUUAAAAACUUAUUGAUCCUAUAAAGCUCACUCCCUCUCCCUCUUUAUAUUUUUUUCAAAUCUAGAAAUGCAUAUAGGGCUUGGGACUGAGC
rnacentral:lncRNA from 1 species